AUACGGAGGGUGCAAGCGUUGUUCGGAAUCACUGGGCGUAAAGGGCGCGCAGGCGGUUUGGUAAGUCAGAUGUGAAAGCCCACGGCUCAACCGUGGAAGUGUGUUUGAAACUGUCAGACUUGAGUACUAGAGGGGAAAGUGGAAUUCCCGGUGUAGAGGUGAAAUUCGUAGAUAUCGGGAGGAAUACCGGUGGCGAAGGCGACUUUCUGGCUAGAUACUGACGCUGAGGCGCGAAAGCGUGGGGAGCAAACAGGAUUAGAUACCCUAGUAGUCC
rnacentral:rRNA from 1 species